UACGAGCACCCCGAGUGGUCGGGACGUUUUAUUGGGCCUAAAGCAUCCGUAGCCGGUUCUACAAGUCUUCCGUUAAAUCCAACUGCUUAACAGGUGGGCUGCGGAAGAUACUAUAGAGCUAGGAGGCGGGAGAGGCAAGCGGUACUCGAUGGGUAGGGGUAAAAUCCGUUGAUCCAUUGAAGACCACCAGUGGCGAAGGCGGCUUGCCAGAACGCGCUCGACGGUGAGGGAUGAAAGCUGGGGGAGCAAACCGG
rnacentral:rRNA from 1 species